AUUCCAGCUCCAAUAGCGUAUAUUAAAGUUGUUGCGGUUAAAAAGCUCGUAGUUGGAUUUCUGCUGAGGAUGACCGGUCCGCCCUGUGGGUGUGCAUCUGGCUCAGCCUUGGCAUCUUCCUGAAGAACGUAGCUGCACUUGACUGUGUGGUGCGGUAUUUAGGACAUUUACUUUGAGGAAAUUAGAGUGUUUCAAGCAAGCGCACGCUUUGAAUACAUUAGCAUGGAAUAAUAAGAUAGGACCUCGGUUCUAUUUUGUUGGUUUCUAGAGCUGAGGUAAUGAUUGAUAGGGAUAGUUGGGGGCAUUCGUAUUUAAACGACAGAGGUGAAAUUCUUGGACCGUUUGAAGACAAACUACUGCGAAAGCAUUUGCCAAGAAUGUUUUCAUUG
rnacentral:rRNA from 1 species